rnacentral:rRNA from 1 species
UACGAAGGGGGCAAGCGUUGUUCGGAAUUACUGGGCGUAAAGGGCGCGCAGGCGGCCUCUCAAGUCAGAUGUGAAAGCCCCGGGCUCAACCUGGGAAUAGCAUUUGGGACUGGGAGGCUUGAGAUCGGGAGAGGAGAGUGGAAUUCCCAGUGUAGAGGUGAAAUUCGUAGAUAUUGGGAAGAACACCAGUGGCGAAGGCGGCUCUCUGGACCGAUACUGACGCUGAGGCGCGAAAGCGUGGGGAGCAAACAGG